AAUACUGUAAUCCCUUCUUCCAUGUACACACAAGGAUUGGGGAGGGUAGAGUGACAAAUUGAUAGGAAGGUAGAGUGAAGUUGAUGUUUAAAUAAUAAACCUUUACAGAAGAACACUUAAAGUGGGUGGAGGGGAUUCUUCUGGUAUCAGUUUAUCUGUCUCAGACUUUCCCCUUCUCUGAAGAUUAAGAAAACCAUGCCAGUGCUUAAUCAGAGUUCUGUGUAGCUAAUGGUAGCAUUAGAAGAGAAAUCGCUUGUGGUUUUCAGACCCCUUGUUUAGUUCUAGGUGGCUCAAACUAGAGGAUUCUUAACAGACUCGUUUUCUUUAGCUGAUCUUUUGCCCUAUAAUGACCAUUCCCAGAUUCAGGACAUACAAAUAGGUGAUUUACUUACUUGUUUGAAAUUUCAGAUUUAACAAGAAUUUGUUUUAAAAUGUUAGGAGACCUGGAAAUUGAGAGAGACACGUAAGUUUUAAAAAAUGAAGUCUUUAAAUAGAAAGGAGAUGAUUAGCAUAUAUUAUUUGAAUACUCAGCAAAUUUUAAAACUUAUUUUUAGGGUUAGGUAUCACUGUGUAAUACUGGCUGGACUGGAAUUCACUGUAUGGAGCAGGCUGGCCUAAACUCCAGUGCUCUUAUGCUACCACACCCAGGUUCCAUGUAGUUCAGGCUUGUCUCAAACUUGCUAUGUAAAUGAGGAUGACCCUGAACACUGCCAGGUAGAAGCAGAACUUUAAAGAAACUUGUUAGAACAGAGAUAGCCGUUAGAAGGAGAGCUACAUCAUGACAAAUGUAAUUUUUUUCACUUUAGGGAAAAAAACACAUUUUAAUGAGUAUGCAUGUUCAUGUGCACACCCUCACUUACACAGUGUGCCGUGGCACAUUUGGAGGUCAGAGAACAACUUGUGGGAGCUGUUUUUCUCUUUCCACCAUUGACUCCUGAACAUCAAGCUAAGUGCUUUGAGGCGAGCACUUUUUUUUUAAUCUACCAUGUAAGGUUUCUUAAUACUUAUAAUUUGAAUGGAUUAUUUUAAAAAAAACUAAUUUGAGUUCAGACUUUGUCCUUAUAAUAUGCAUUUAUUAUUGUUAGCAUAACUAAAUCAUGUCUUAAAAUAUCCUUAGGAAACAUUCCACUGAAAUUGUGUGGAGUCAGAUUUUCCUGGUUUUUCUUAAUUCUGCUGUUGGUAGAGAAAUUUUAAAAUGUGGUCGUUCCUUUAUUUAUUUACUUUUAACCAGAUGAGUUGAUUUUUUUUUUUUAAAGAAGUGUUUCUUUAGCUUUGAGUCAUCUUAAAUUAACAUCAUCUUAAUAUUUAAAGAUCCUAAAUUGGGAAUAUUUGGGGAAAAAAAAAGUUUUAAAAUUUAGAUCAAUAAAUAUCAGCUGGGAAAUUCCAGAGAAUGGCCCUGACCUAGGUCCAUCUCUUAGUUAGUAUUUAAUAUUUAAUAAAGCUUGCUUUAAAUUUGGCCCCCCAAAGUAAGUUAAUAAAGAAUGAUUCUCUAGAAUGAUAAAUAAGAACUAUUAUGUUCUCUCUUUCCAGAGCUUGCAGCCUACAUGGGUGUAGGGACUGUAGAGACACGUGCACAGAUAGCUAUGAUAGAGGCUGGUUAGCUAAAUGCUGUAGGCAGGUACACAAUUUGUGGUCAUUGGAAGAGAAAGUAGUAUCUAAGUUUUGUUUCUUACAUAGCAUUCUGACACACGUUUGUUUGUUUGUUUGUUUGUUUGUUUGUUUGUUUGUUUUUAAAGAAGAACUGAACCAAGAAGGGUGAAAGGUAUAGAAAUGC
rnacentral:lncRNA from 1 species